UUAAGCAAAGAAGAGCGCAGGGUGGAUGCCUUGGCACUAAGAGCCGAAGAAAGACGUGAUAAGCUGCGAAAAGCUGCGGGGAGAUGCAAAUAAUCCUUGAUCCGCAGAUGUCUGAAUGGGGAAACCCGGUACGAAGAACUCGUAUCAUCCAUACGCCAAUCCAUAACGUAUGGAGGGGAACCCGGUGAACUGAAACAUCUAAGUAGCCGGAGGAAGAGAAAGAAACAUCGAUUUUGUUAGUAGCGGCGAGCGAAAGCGAAAGAGGCCAAACCGGAGUGCGUGCACUCCGGGGUUCGGACCGCAUUUAAGAUUCAGUGAUUCUAGCAGAAAGGUUUGGGAAAGCCUGCCGGAGAGGGUGAAAGCCCCGUAAGCGAAAGGAGAACUGACUGAGCGGGAUCCAGAGUACAUCGAGACACGAGAAACCUUGAUGGAAUGAGCGGGGACCACCCCGUAAGCCUAAAUACUACUUAGUGACCGAUAGCGCAUAGUACUGUGAAGGAAAGGUGAAAAGGACCCCGGGAGGGGAGUGAAAGAGAACCUGAAACCCUGUGUUUACAAGCUGUGGAAGUUCUUUAAAUGAACAACCGCGUACUUUUUGUAGAACGGUCCGGCGAGUUGCGGAUACUGGCAAGGUUAAGCACUUAAGGUGCGGAGCCGAAGGGAUACCAAGUCUUAACAGGGCGUUAAGUCAGUAUACGCAGACCCGAAACCGGGUGAUCUAUCCAUGUCCAGGUUGAAGUUGCCGUAAAAGGCAAUGGAGGACCGAACGCACAUCCGUUGAAAAGGGUGGCGAUGAGGUGUGGAUAGGGGAGAAAUUCCAAUCGAACCCGGAGAUAGCUGGUUCUCCUCGAAAUAGCUUUAGGGCUAGCCUCGAUUUAGUCUUAUGGAGGUAGAGCACUGAAUUUCCGCGGGGGCGUCAAAGCUUACCAAAGAAUAUCAAACUCCGAAUGCCAUGUAGAUGAUGAUCGGGAGUCAGACUGCACGAGAUAAGUUGGGCAGUCAAAAGGGAAAGAGCCCAGACCACCGGCUAAGGUCCCAAAGUGCGUGUUAAGUGGAAAAGGAUGUGGGAUUUCGAAGACAACUAGGAUGUUGGCUCAGAAGCAGCCAUACAUUCAAAGAGUGCGUAAUAGCUCACUAGUCGAGAGGUCCUGCGCCGAAAAUGUCCGGGGCUGAAACACGACACCGAAGCCGUGGACUCGCAAUGCGAGUGGUAGAGGAGCAUUCUUAAAACCGACGAAGCUGUACCGGAAGGAGCAGUGGAGGGAUAAGAAGAGAGAAUGCCGGAAUGAGUAGCGAGAGAAAGGUGGGAAUCCUUUCGGCCGAAUAUCUAAGGUUUCCAGAGUAAAGCUGAUCUGCUCUGGGUAAGUCGGGGCCUAAGCACAGGUCGCAAGACGUAAGCGAUGGAUAACAGGUUUAGAUUCCUGUACCACGCAUUAUCAGAACUGUAGGGACGCAUGUGGAAAGCACGAGCCGGGAAUGGAAAGACCGGUACAAGCGGGGUAGGUGUACAAUAGGCAAAUCCGUUGUAUGAUCCGAAGACGUGAUGUGGAGCGAAAUAAAGUAGCAAAGCGUGUGAGCCAUGUGCCGAGAAAAGCUGCUAUUGUGUAAUGCGUGCCCGUACCGUAAACCGACACAGGUGGAUGAGGAGAGAAUCCUAAGGCCGACGGAAGAAGCAUUGUUAAGGAAUUCGGCAAAAUGACCCCGUAACUUCGGGAGAAGGGGUGCCUGCGAGAGCAGGCCGCAGAGAAUAGGCUCAAGCAACUGUUUAGCAAAAACACAGGUCUAUGCGAAACCGAAAGGUGAGGUAUAUGGGCUGACGCCUGCCCGGUGCUGGAAGGUUAAGAGGAGAGGUUAGCGUCGGCGAAGCUUUGAAUUUAAGCCCCAGUAAACGGCGGCCGUAACUAUAACGGUCCUAAGGUAGCGAAAUUCCUUGUCGGGU
rnacentral:rRNA from 1 species